rfam:Candidatus Melainabacteria bacterium RIFOXYA2_FTLL_32_9 rifoxya2_full_scaffold_926, whole genome shotgun sequence.
CCCUCUGUGGCGCAAUUGGUAGACGCGGUCGGUUCAGGUCUGGCUUGUUGAAGGUUCGACUCCUUUCAGGGGGA